UGGGGAAUAUUGCGCAAUGGGGGAAACCCUGACGCAGCAACGCCGCGUGAGUGAUGAAGGCUUUCGAGUCGUAAAACUCUGUCUUCGGGGACGAUAAUGACGGUACCCGAGGAGGAAGCCCCGGCUAACUACGUGCCAGCAGCCGCGGUAAUACGUAGGGGGCAAGCGUUGUCCGGAAUCACUGGGCGUAAAGGGCGCGUAGGCGGUUUGUUAAGUCAGGUGUGAAAGUUUUCAGCUUAACUGGAAAAGUGCACUUGAAACUAACUUACUUGAGUACUGGAGAGGUAAGCGGAAUCCCUAGUGUAGCGGUGAAAUGCGUAGAUAUUAGGAAGAACGCCGGUGGCGAAGGCGGCUUACUGGACAGAGACUGACGCUGAGGCGCGAAAGCGUGGGGAGCGAACAG
rnacentral:rRNA from 1 species